rnacentral:tRNA from 1 species
GCCCCAAUAGCUCAGCAGGAUAGAGCGUCCGCCUCCUAAGCGGAAGGUCGUUGGUUCGAAUCCAAUUUGGGGUGCCA